ensembl:snRNA U12 U12 minor spliceosomal RNA
AUGCCUUAAACUGAUGAGUAAGGAAAACAACGACGGGGGCUGACUCCCUUGUCCGUGCUAACGCAGCAUCGGGAAUUUUUUGGACGGGCAACAGGUCUGCCGGUGCGGACGAGUCGCCUACUUUGCGAGAUGUCGCGCUGGUACUCGAUCUGCCCU